CUGCAUAAAAGGCUUAGAAGUAUUCUUUUUAUACCCACAUAUAUUUUUAAAUAUGAUCACACCAAGCCAUUAAUGUCUGCAUGAUAAACUAGCAACUUUAGCUUCUGCUAUUAAUUCAACAUCUAACAGCAAUUUUAGCCAACACUCAGUAACACUUGGUGCUAUAAGUAAUGAUACAGUUCAAAUGCAGACUCUGACAGCUUAACCUGCACUGACCCAAACAUAUAUAAAAAGUCUGGCUUUCAUGUUAGGCUGUUUGGCUGAUGCAUCAUAGCUACACAGUAAAAUACUUCAAAAUGCCUCUGUCAGUCCUCCGGGGAGACUCAAGGAACACUUGAGAAUUGUUCCCACUGAGCCCUGGUUUCUUAUAGCUAGACAAAUAAAUAUUAUUACAAUUUGAACAGUCACCAUAGUCAUAUUAAAAUAUUCUCUUGAUGCUUGCCUACAUGUAUAUUUCACACAGGCCCCUUUAUUCUGUCCCCUCACCCACUGGAAGCAAACCUUAUGCAAGCGCCACUAAACUACAUUUGCUCUCCUACAAAGCCUCUAGCUUUGUGUUGCAAAAGAGUUCAAGUGGAAAUGCCAAGCCACUUAAAAUGUAGAUGGUAUCACUUCACGCUGGAUUAGGCCAAGCAUUGCCAUAAUUCACAGUUUGCUUCAGUAUCUGGAAAUCUAUAUAACUUGUUAGAUUUAAGGGCCAUAAAGAAAACAGACAUAAAUAUGAUAAGAAGUCUAAACAUAAAGAGACCAACAAAGAGGGAAGGUAUAAUUUAAAGGGAAAACGGGUGAUGCUAAUAGAUAAUAUGUAGCAAAAUAUUUAAAAAUAAAGAAAAGCAGGAAGACAAAGAGAUAAAAGCUGUAAUCUCUCAAACGCAUUAUAAAGUGUGUUUUCAUGUAUUGUUUUGGUGGCGCAUUCAGCAAGGAAGAGAAGAAAGCUCAAUCUGUGAGUACCGUGUAUGGUUGGGCCUGAGCCGAUCGAUACAACAGUCCCAGGACUUUUCACUAGAAAGAUGUUUGGCUCAAGCACAUGACGCAAGGAGGAACACUAUAGAAGAGAAUUAUGGCAUAGCAUCCUCCUUACAGUACCAGACAAGGAUGUUCAAGUUCCCUGACACAGAAAAACACAUAUCUUCAUACGGCCAAGAGCCAAAGAACACCCACACACACCUUAGACAGCUGAGACAGCUUCAGAAAUGUGAAAAUUGAUCACUAAAUGGAAGAAUGACACUCGCAACUCUCCAGCCUCCUGCUCUGCUCCCAGAGGGGCCCAAGGUAACCUACAGCUGGUCAGCACAACCCAGAGACCAUUUCAGCAUCCUUUUCUGGGCCACAGGUUCCCCAGCCUAGAGAGCUGAACUACUGAGCAGCCCUCUGGUACCACAGGCCCUUUUUGGGGAGGUACAUUUGGACUAUUCAAAGCUACAGGAUAUUCCACAGCUAGCAGCUCUGCCCCUCUAAUAAGGGAGCUGCUGGCCUUUCUUAACCUUUAUUUUCUUAAGAGCUGAAGGCGAUGAGAGCUGAUAACACCAACCCUGUGCAGAAGAUUCCUCAGAAAAGCACAUACGUACAUUUGAAAUAUAUCUAGACUGUUUUCCCAUAUAUUAUGCACUAUUACUGACACUUCCAAGUGCUGAAUGAAGUCUGAAUGAUCAGGAUCUGAGAAGAUACCACGGUAAAGAGAAGCUCUCCCUGCAUUUCCAGCCCCACCACUGGCUUCAUCUCUGAAUGGGACGCAGCAAGCAACAGCCCCAAAAGCUGAGAGCUUCUCCUCCACGCAGACAGGAGCAGGUACUGCUCUGGGUAACCAUGUUCUUCACCUGCACUGGACCUUCACACAUGAAUGCUCCACUGAGCAGAUGUAAAAAUAUUUUAGAAAGGCUUUCAAGAGAAAGCUCUUAUUAAAAAUCCUAAACUGCACAGUGUGUGGAACAAUAACACUGUCUGCCUGAAAAUGUCAUAUCCUUGUCUGAACAGCCCAAUACCUUAUGUGCUCUGAAUAAAGAUAGAGAUGUAAUUGCUUUUCUUGUUACG
ensembl:lncRNA